AACGAACGCUGGCGGCAUGCCUAACACAUGCAAGUCGAACGAAGGCUUCGGCCUUAGUGGCGCACGGGUGCGUAACGCGUGGGAAUCUGCCCCUCGGUUCGGAAUAACAGUUAGAAAUGACUGCUAAUACCGGAUGAUGACUUCGGUCCAAAGAUUUAUCGCCGAGGGAUGAGCCCGCGUAAGAUUAGGUAGUUGGUGGGGUAAAGGCCUACCAAGCCGACGAUCUUUAGCUGGUCUGAGAGGAUGAUCAGCGACACCGGGACUGAGACACGGCCCAGACUCCUGCGGGAGGCAGCAGUGGGGAAUAUUGGCGAAUGGGCGAGAGCCUGAUCCAGCAAUGCCGCGUGAGUGAUGAAGGCCUUAGGGUUGUAAAGCUCUUUUACCAGGGAUGAUAAUGACAGUACCUGGAGAAUAAGCUCCGGCUAACUCCGUGCCAGCCGCCGCUGUAAAAC
rnacentral:rRNA from 1 species